rnacentral:lncRNA from 1 species
GGGGGGUGGGGGGCGGGGCCGGGAGGAGGAUGACAGGGGAUUGGUCCAGCUGCCGCAGGUGGGGCGGUGGCGGUGGCGCUGGCGGCGGCGGCAGCUGGGGCAGUCGGGCGACAGGACCUGGACAUCCCCGGUCCACAGUUCGCAAGAGGAUCCGGAGGGUAAGCGCCAGCGGCCACCGGCAGGGAGACUGGCAGCGACCUUACGGGACGCCCGCGCGCCGGCCCAGAGCCCGCCUGUCGGGGCGCAGCCCCGCCCCCGGGGCGCGUCCUUCCUGGGCACAGGGACUUCCUGCCGCUGUGGCUACGGCUCCGGGGCCGGGAAGGCGGCGGUGCCCCAGCCCGGUUGCCGGGGCCGCUCUGGCCGCUUCUCUUCCUUUCCGUGGUCCUCAUCUCCCUCCCGCCGGCCUUCCUGAGCCACGAGCUCCAGGUCUUUGCGCGGAACGGCCGCGGAAAAGAUGGAGUUUCCGCUGGGGUGGGUGGCGUGGGGUUUCUCUGGUCUGCAGGUGGCAGUGUUGCGCUGUGGAGCCGCCCAGCCGCCCUCCUGCCCCGCCCUUCGUGCUUCAAAAAACUGCGCGGAGCCUUGUCCGUGGAGAGGGCGGCUUCUUUCUGCGUCUGCGCGGGCUGGGCCGCUCCCGGGCCGGCUGCAGCCUUCAGCGCGCCCCCUUCGGAAAAUUCCCUGCCUGCCGGCAAGGCCCGUUUGCUUUUCCAGUUGGCCUUUCUCCUCCGGAGCUGCCUAGGUUCCUUCGCAUCUUGUAUUUCUGCCUCUCGGAAUCGUCUUGUCAAGGGUUUUAAACGAUCAUAAUCUUAAUAAAAGGAAAAGAAAAAAGAAAACUUCCCACAAUGAAUCCCUGGUGCUGCCGUAACUUUACCGGUAAAACGUACCAAAUGCGGACAGAAGAAUUAGUAAGCAAACUUCACAAACGCUUUCAAAAAAUAGAAGUAGAGGGAACACUUCCAAACUCUGGGGCCAGUAUCGCCCUGAUACCAAAACCAGACAA